CAGUCGCCACGGUAAUACGUAGGGUGCAAGCGUUAAUCGGAAUUACUGGGCGUAAAGCGUGCGCAGGCGGUUAUAUAAGACAGAUGUGAAAUCCCCGGGCUCAACCUGGGAACUGCAUUUGUGACUGUAUAGCUAGAGUACGGCAGAGGGGGAUGGAAUUCCGCGUGUAGCAGUGAAAUGCGUAGAUAUGCGGAGGAACACCGAUGGCGAAGGCAAUCCCCUGGGCCUGUACUGACGCUCAUGCACGAAAGCGUGGGGAGCAAACAGGAUUAGAUACCCCGGUAGUCCUUGUCUCUUAUAC
rnacentral:rRNA from 1 species